UGAGUGAGGUAGAGGCAGGCGGAAUUCCCGGUNNAGCGGUGAAAUGCGUAGAGAUCGGGAGGAACACCAGUGGCGAAGGCGGCCUGCUGGGCCUUAACUGACGCUGAGGCACGAAAGCAUGGGUAGCAAACAGGAUUAGAUACCCUGGUAGUCCAUGCCGUAAACGAUGAUUACUAGGUGUGGGUGGUCUGACCCCAUCCGUGCCGGAGUUAACACAAUAAGUAAUCCACCUGGGGAGUACGGCCGCAGGGUUGAAACUCAAAGGAAUUGACGGGGGCCCGCACAAGCAGUGGAGUAUGUGGUUUAAUUCGAAGCAACGCGAAGAACCUUACCAAGUCUUGACAUCCUGCUAACGAGGUAGAGAUACGUUAGGUGCCCUUCGGGGAAAGCAGAGACAGGUGGUGCAUGGUUGUCGUCAGCUCGUGUCGUGAGAUGUUGGGUUAAGUCCCGCAACGAGCGCAACCCCUGCUAUUAGUUGCUACGCAAGAGCACUCUAAUAGGACUGCCGUUGACAAAACGGAGGAAGGUGGGGACGACGUCAAAUCAUCAUGCCCCUUAUGACCUGGGCUACACACGUACUACAAUGGCCGUCAACAGAGAGAAGCAAAACUGCGAAGUGGAGCAAAACUCUAAAAACGGUCCCAGUUCGGAUCGUAGGCUGCAACCCGCCUACGUGAAGUUGGAAUUGCUAGUAAUCGCGGAUCAUCAUGCCGCGGUGAAUACGUUCCCGGGCCUUGUACACACCGCCCGUCACACCAUGGGAGCCGGUAAUACCCGAAGUCAGUAGUCUAACCGCAAGGGGGACGCUGCCGAAGGUAGGAUUGGCGACUGGGGUGAAGUCGUAACAAGGUAACC
rnacentral:rRNA from 1 species